rnacentral:rRNA from 1 species
CACGUAGGGGGCAAGCGUUGUCCGGAUUAUUGGGCGUAAAGAGCUCGUAGGCGGUUCGGUAAGUCGGGUGUGAAAACUCUGGGCUCAACCCAGAGCCGCCACCCGAUACUGCUGUGACUUGAGUUCGGUAGGGGAGCGGGGAAUUCCUGGUGUAGCGGUGAAAUGCGCAGAUAUCAGGAGGAACACCGGUGGCGAAGGCGGAUCUCUGGGCCAUUACUGACGCUGAGGAGCGAAAGCGUGGGGAGCGAACAGG